rnacentral:tRNA from 1 species
GUCAGGAUGGCUGAGCGGUCUAACGCGCAAGACUCAAGUUUCCAAACAUGCUCCGCUAAUGCGCCGACAACGCUGGGGCGCUCUCGUCUACAAAAGUGGGCAAGUGUUCGAAUCAGUCUCCUGACA